UGGGGAAUAUUGCACAAUGGGCGCAAGCCUGAUGCAGCCAUGCCGCGUGUGUGAAGAAGGCCUUCGGGUUGUAAAGCACUUUCAGCGGGGAGGAAGGCGAUAAGGUUAAUAACCUUGUCGAUUGACGUUACCCGCAGAAGAAGCACCGGCUAACUCCGUGCCAGCAGCCGCGGUAAUACGGAGGGUGCAAGCGUUAAUCGGAAUUACUGGGCGUAAAGCGCACGCAGGCGGUCUGUCAAGUCGGAUGUGAAAUCCCCGGGCUCAACCUGGGAACUGCAUUCGAAACUGGCAGGCUAGAGUCUUGUAGAGGGGGGUAGAAUUCCAGGUGUAGCGGUGAAAUGCGUAGAGAUCUGGAGGAAUACCGGUGGCGAAGGCGGCCCCCUGGACAAAGACUGACGCUCAGGUGCGAAAGCGUGGGGAGCAAACAGG
rnacentral:rRNA from 3 species